GAUAACAUUUCAGUGCGUGUAUAAAUAACUAUUAAUAUAUUUCAUGUAUUGAUUUUUUUGGCAUCUAAGCAAAACAUCUUUUAAUCUUGAUGUACAACACUAAAAGAGGAGCGAAAGAUACCAGAGGGACAUUCAAACUCAUUUGCCGAAAAUAAACUGACAACGCCAAGACUUAAAAAAGAAAAAAGACACAGAGACGAAAAACAAGUACACUAGACACAACAUAGAAAACUAUAGACUAAGCAACACGAACCCCAGAAAAAUUUGGGGUGAUCUCAGGUGCUCCGGAAGGGUUGGCAGAUCCUGCUCCACAUGUAGCACCCUUGGUGUUGCUCAUUUUCUUACAAACCCAGGAAAUAGUCUAAUUCGGUAGGUAAAAUUCGUGAAAAAAGGGG
rnacentral:lncRNA from 1 species